CAAUAGCGUAUAUUAAAGUUGUUGCAGUUAAAAAGCUCGUAGUUGGAUUUCUGGUGGGAGCGAUCGGUCUGGCGCUUAGCGCGAGUACUUGCAUCGUCUCCGGCCAUCCUUGGGGAGAGUCUGUCUGGCAUUAGGUUGUCGGGCAGAGGAUCCUCAUCGUUUACUGUGAAAAAAUUAGAGUGUUCAAAGCAGGCUUAUGCCGUUGAAUAUAUCAGCAUGGAAUAAUAAGAUAGGACUUUGGUACUAUUUUGUUGGUUUGCGCACCAAAGUAAUGAUUAAUAGGGACAGUUGGGGGUAUUCGUAUUCCGUUGUCAGAGGUGAAAUUCUUGGAUUUACGGAAGACGAACUACUGCGAAAGCAUUUACCAAGGAUGUUUNCAUUA
rnacentral:rRNA from 1 species